ensembl:lncRNA novel transcript
UUUUGUUUCAUGUUUGGGGAGUAGGAAAAAUAGAACCUGAAAGUUGAAAAUCUCCAUCUUAUAAAUGAAUAUCAUUGCCUCUACCUAGAAAGCUACUACUGACCUAUCAAAAACCUUGUAGACAAGUUAAUACUUCUGUGAUGUGUGCAGCUCUUUAAACAAUCUGCCUGUCAUGCCAGAGAGUACAUUUUCACUUGGCUUCUUUAACAGACAGUCUAAGAAGAAAGAAUAAUACCAAGGACUCCACAGCUGCUUCUGCAUGAGGCAAGGGUUUUCCAUCUGUACUGUAGUAUUUGGCCCUUAAAUAACUUUUUACACCCCACAGUGCAUGUCUAUAUAACAAGGAAGGAAAGGGAGUUGGAACUACAUGGGGCCACAUGAGAAAUGGAAUUGCUUCUUUUGGCUUAAGGGCAUAGGCAAUCUAAGACGCUUCUCCCUGGGACAUACCAUGUAGUUUUUUAUUGACUUCCAGUGAUUUUAAUGCUGAAAGAGCCAAAGUCAAGGUGAGUGUUCUUAACAUAUUGACAUCAAUGGCCCAGCCAAGGAGCUGCCAACAGGCCUUUGAGAGAACAGUUAGGACUCCUUGUUUACCUUUCCCCACAAAGACAUUGGAUCGGGGUGGGGUGCAUAUAAUAU